GGGAAUGUGGCUUAGUGGUAAAGUGCUUGCUUAGCAUGCAUGAAGCCCUGGGUUCAAUUCCUCAGCACCA
rnacentral:tRNA from 1 species